rnacentral:rRNA from 1 species
GACGAACGCUGGCGGCGUGCCUAAUACAUGCAAGUAGAACGCUGAAGAGAGGAGCUUGCUCUUCUUGGAUGAGUUGCGAACGGGUGAGUAACGCGUAGGUAACCUGCCUUGUAGCGGGGGAUAACUAUUGGAAACGAUAGCUAAUACCGCAUAACAAUGGAUGACACAUGUCAUUUAUUUGAAAGGGGCAAUUGCUCCACUACAAGAUGGACCCGCGUUGUAUUAGCUAGUAGGUGAGGUAAUGGCUCACCUAGGCGACGAUACAUAGCCGACCUGAGAGGGUGAUCGGCCACACUGGGGCUGAGACACGGCCCAGACUCCUACGGGAGGCAGCAGUAGGGAAUCUUCCGCAAUGGGCGAAAGCCUGACGGAGCAACGCCGCGUGAGUGAAGAAGGAUUUCGGUUCGUAAAGCUCUGUUGUUAGGGAAGAAUGAUUGUGUAGUAACUAUACACAGUAGAGACGGUACCUAACCAGAAAGCCACGGCUAACUACGUGCCAGCAGCCGCGGUAAUACGUAGGUGGCAAGCGUUGUCCGGAAUUAUUGGGCGUAAAGCGCGCGCAGGUGGUUUAAUAAGUCUGAUGUGAAGGCCCACGGCUCAACCGUGGAGGGUCAUUGGAAACUGUUAAACUUGAGUGCAGGAGAGAAAAGUGGAAUUCCUAGUGUAGCGGUGAAAUGCGUAGAGAUUAGGAGGAACACCAGUGGCGAAGGCGACUUUCUGGUCUGUAACUGACGCUGAUGUGCGAAAGCGUGGGGAUCAAACAGGAUUAGAUACCCUGGUAGUCCACGCCGUAAACGAUGAGUGCUAAGUGUUAGGGGGUUUCCGCCCCUUAGUGCUGCAGCUAACGCAUUAAGCACUCCGCCUGGGGAGUACGACCGCAAGGUUGAAACUCAAAGGAAUUGACGGGGACCCGCACAAGCGGUGGAGCAUGUGGUUUAAUUCGAAGCAACGCGAAGAACCUUACCAAAUCUUGACAUCCUCUGACCCCUCUAGAGAUAGAGUUUUCCCCUUCGGGGGACAGAGUGACAGGUGGUGCAUGGUUGUCGUCAGCUCGUGUCGUGAGAUGUUGGGUUAAGUCCCGCAACGAGCGCAACCCUUAAGCUUAGUUGCCAUCAUUAAGUUGGGCACUCUAAGUUGACUGCCGGUGACAAACCGGAGGAAGGUGGGGAUGACGUCAAAUCAUCAUGCCCCUUAUGACCUGGGCUACACACGUGCUACAAUGGCUGGUACAACGAGUCGCAAGUCGGUGACGACAAGCUAAUCUCUUAAAGCCAGUCUCAGUUCGGAUUGUAGGCUGCAACUCGCCUACAUGAAGUCGGAAUCGCUAGUAAUCGCGGAUCAGCACGCCGCGGUGAAUACGUUCCCGGGCCU